AAAUUGCUCAGAGCAGCCACUCAUGUUGGACAAUUCAGGUCUCUUCUGGAAACUGGCCUUGGAUUUGGAAUUUUCUCCAGAGUCUGAUGUGCUAAGAAAUCUUCAGAACAAAUUUUUCAUAAAAGAAACUUCACUGCAAGAGUUGAAGCCUGAGCUAGAAAGUUACAAAGAAAAUAAUGUACGACAGUCGUUCCAGAUAAUGUCCCUGAAUGAUAAUAUCGAGGACCUACAGGAACUUACUGCUUCUCUAACCAGAAUUAAGUAUUUGAGAACCACCAAUAUUCAGAGGCUUCAAAGAGGCAACUGGGAUUUAACUAAAUGAAUUAUAGAACUAGAAAACUGUCUAAGAGUACGAGUACAUCUGGUUGAAAGAGAAAAGGCAGAGAGAAAAGCAGACUUUUUGGAGUUGUUUUCAGGCACUAACAGAGUCAUCCCUUAUAUGCAUAUGAAUGGACAAUAAGAUUUCUUGGAUAUUUUCAUGGCAAAGGGUAAGAGUGAAGCUAUCCUGGCCAAGAACUUUGAGAGAGACAACACUAUUCAUUCUGAAGGACCAAAAAAUGAGCAGAAAAUUUGGGAUAAAUGUCAACAAGAUUUGAACCCUAAAGAAAAGCAAGCAUCGAGUUAGACAGACCUCCAUAUUCAUUCAAGUGGGAAGCUAAAACUGUGCAGUCCCAACAUCAGAAUUUCCUUGGUCAGUUGGUUAUUGCGGGACAGCAUUCUUCUGCAUGACAGUAUUGUCUCCUUACCAGCCACAGAGGAGGCUGUGAAAGAGAGGAUUUGGGAAAUUAGUGCAAAUGAGAAAUCUUGGAAAUCUAGAACUAAAGCCUUCCAGCAGGAAAUCCAGAUGCUCACUAAGUGACUAGAGCAGCUGCAUCAUCUUUAAGAAGAAGGUGCCCAAGAAUCAUCCCAAGCUGAAGAAAAAAGUAUUGGGAACAAAAAAGACCCUUGAAAUGUCUAGAAAGAAAAAUUGAGAUCAAGGACUUUUUCAAGAGAGAUUAGACUUGGACAGGAAGAAUUUGCAGAUUGCUACAACGCAAAGAUUGGAGGAGAAAAUUCAGAAACUUCAGAAACAGCUCAGUGAUUUGAAAUUGUCAAAUAAAAAUAUGAAAACUCAGCUGACAAGAGUAAAUGUCCUUAAAGACAAAACAAUUGAAGAGCUCAGGCAAUCUUUAGCAAAUGUUGAAACGAUGAAAGAGAAGGCAAAUGUUGAAACGAUGAAAGAGAAGGCAGUUGUGAAAACAGAAAACUUGAAAACUACAUUAGACUCUGCAGAGCAAAAGGCAAGGUCAGACAAAGAGAAGACCCAGCAGAUGUUAGAUGCUGUCACUUCUGAGCCCCCCACAGCAAAGAGCACACCUGAAGAAGUAUCAGGACAAGAACAAGAGGCCUAUCCAGAGAUUCCAGUUCAGUUUGUGGUAUGAGGCUGAAGUAUGGAUAUUUUUUUCAAAGCUCCUUAAGUAUAUAAAUGGAUAAAAUUACUUUGGAA
rnacentral:sRNA from 1 species